rnacentral:lncRNA from 1 species
CAAUUGUAGCAAGGAGCACUCUCUUUCUUGUCGCCUUCACCUUUGACAAUGACAGUGUUCUAGAUCUCGUCAACAUAGAUUUUCACAUCAAUAAUUGAGGAGACGAAAAGGGUCAUAGUUAGUUUUGUCGAUGUUCAAGUUGUCAGUGGAUCUCGACGGGGACAACAACUGCUUCCGUUUCAUUUUGUCGUUCCAGAUCUAAGAUCUGUUGCGUCUAUAUCACUCAAUGAUGAAAUCACGAACCCUCGUCGUUGUGGCAACCAGAUGUUGCAGCGGCGCAUCAGACAGCGCGGUGGGGAUCGUAGUGGCUCCGACCAGGCUAAAAUUGGAGAGAGCGGAAAAGGUGAGAGAGAAAGCACAGGAAGG